CUCUACCAGAAACAAACCAAGAAAAUACAUAAACUUUGGAAAGACUAAAGCUUUCUCAAUCAAAUCGUUGGAACAAAGUUAUAUAAUAUAUAGUUUCAAAACAAACCCAGAAGAUCUAAAACAGCAAGUAUAAGCAAGAACAGGACAGAGAAAGAAAAUAAUUGGGGAAAGGAGAGAGACCUCUGAGUUGGUUGAUGCGGGAGAAGAGAGCGUGAAGAUCUGGUUUGUAAUCUUUUGAUUUGGUUUUUAAUUAGGGUUUUUGCUGCUUUUCCCCCUUUUUAUCGACUUUAACAAUGAAGAGAGAAGAGAAAGGGAGGAAGUGGAAAAGGCUUUUAAAAGAGAUGGGUGUCGUGUCAAGCGUUGGGCUUUCGUCUAGAUUCUUGUAGCCUUGUCAGAUGAUGCUUCCUUGUUUUAUUAUUAUGUAAUGUAAUGUAAUUAAUUAAUUAAUUAUUACUCUUUUGACU